rnacentral:lncRNA from 1 species
GUCUUAUGUGAUCGUGGAAAGAUAGGCUGACCAUAUAUCGAUAAUAGUAGGAGGUCGGUGGAGAUCCGAAUGAGCAUCAAACGGUAACUCUGAUAUACCAAUGGUCAUUAGUCGGAUAUUAACUGAGUCAUCGUAGUUGUCCGUUGUUGGUUGAUAAUAGCCGACUGUCGGUCAGUUAGUUGAUUGUUAGUCGGAGUAUUGUGUUCAUAAGGCCAAUGCAAAGUCAAAGUUGGGGGUCGGUUGAAUGGUCCCAACAGUUAACCCUCACUCCC